rfam:Glycine soja cultivar W05 scaffold503_17, whole genome shotgun sequence.
UGACUAUUAGAUGAUGGCUAUCACAUGUCGUGUUCUGAUUGGAUGUCAACUCCAUGAAAGAUAAAAUGAAUUGUUGUUUCUAUUGACCAAUCAGAACAUGACAUGUGGGUGUCAUCAUCC